UCCGGAUGGAUGUGCUGUUGAUUU
rnacentral:misc_RNA from 1 species